rnacentral:rRNA from 1 species
GUGCCAGCCGCCGCGGUAAUACAGAGGGUGCGAGCGUUGUUCGGAAUUACUGGGCGUAAAGCGCGCGUAGGCGGUCGUUUAAGUCUUACCGUGAAAUGCCGGGGCUCAACCCCGCGCACGUCGGGGGAUACUGGGCGACUGGAGACGAGUAGAGGCGAGCGGAAUUCCGGGUGUAGCGGUGGAAUGCGUAGAGAUCCGGAAGAACACCAGAGGCGAAGGCGGCUCGCUGGGCUCGGUCUGACGCUGAGGCGCGAAAGCGUGGGGAGCGAACAGGAUUAGAUACCCGUGUAGUCC